UUUCCAUAGUCCAAAAUCCAGUCCAGGUUUUCAGUAUUUCCAGGGUCUACAGCAAAAUUAGGUUCUCAAACAAAGCGCAGGUAAUAGAUCACAGAUCCAUCUGUAAUUCUAUUCCCAAAAAAGAGCACCUGCACCCACCACCACACUUUGAAGUUAAAGCAACUGGUUAAAUUUUUUUGGACAGAACUAACAUACAGGCAGGUGAUCCCUGAGACUCCAAUAAGAAAUGUUCAUUUUGUUUUAUUUCAUUCUCUCCAAACAGAUUAUUGUACAUUACAAAAAGAGAAAGGCCAAAGUGUUGUUAACGGAAACAUGGCAACACUUGAAAAGGUGUACAAUAAGUCCAUGGCUACUGUGACUUCACAGAAGAAGGAUCUGGCACAGUUUUGCAGAUAUCUCACUUCAGAUGAGCCAGGAUCUACAUUUGUUCAGCAGCUAAAACAAAAAAACCAUAAACUCUACCAGCGCCUGGCUGUGACGUUUGUAAAUGAACACCGGGCAGAGCUCAUUCAAAAGGUUACUACAGUACGCUCCAUAGCAGAUGCUCUCUAUAGUAAGAAGAUGGUCGAUAAUGAGCUGAACAGUCAGAUCCAGGCUGAAACAACCAGCCAGGAUAAAAUGAGGCUGCUCUACAAAGCUCUCGAUUCAGCUGAAGCUGUGAAAGCUGCCUUCUUCAAGUUGCUGGCACAGGAGCAAUUUCCUCUCGUCCAAGAUUUGGCAAAGAAGAAACUACGACAGCUUGAGGCUUGUGAUGUGGAUGUGCCUUGAGGAGUAACACUGCUGCUUGGAAAAGUCAUUGUUUGACCAUACUUACCUUAAAACUCGAAGGGUGAAUGGUACCAUUUGAAGAAUAUGCAGACUGAAACAUGAAACAUAAAAUUCAACAAAGAUGCAGUGUGUGAGAGUAUGGGACCAUUACUUGAUGCCUAAUGUUGAUAGUAUGAUACAGUUAAGCUAAGCCUUUAAUGGGCGAACUGUAGACUAAUUUGACGCUAGCUAAAAUUGCACAAAAACACUGUUUCGAAAAAUGUGGGACAGUGGCCUUUGCUAUUGAUGAAUGGCACGCAGAAUGAAUGUAGAUGCUGCCGCCGUUGCAAUACUAUAUGCAGGAAUACAUUUCUACUCUAUGAUCGUAAUCAAGGUUUAUUUUAAUAAUUCUUGACUUUGUGUGGUUCAUCUGUACAUAUUUUUGGAAGGUCAUAUAUAUGUUCAAUGUGUAAAUGUGUAAAUAUUAAAAUAAAACUUGGACAUAUGUUCUUUUUAUGUAUAAAUAUUAUAUUCUGUGGACCCUUUCACUCUGGAGGUAUUGAGAAAGCACUGGACCUGUGGCUUUGUCAAAAGCAAUGAAAAUCCCUCACCAGCUUACUAGUGAGGUAAAAUUAUAGUAGAUUUUCUGAUGGAAUCAUGUUUUCACAAGUAUUUUCCAAAAAAAAAAAUUCUUAAUAUGAUUGAACAAUUUGGUUAACGUCAUGUUUCAUUGAAAUUUAUCAAGACACAUUUUACCAGUAUCUAAAAAGUAAAGUAUUUCAAAUAUCUGUUAAACCCAGGUCUGGUUUAAGAUGGAGACUAUGGUAGAUAAUGACCAAAAUGGCCAACUCUUGCACCCCUUCUCUGUGAAUUACAGAAUGCUCAGUAUUUUAGGAGAGGGGAGAGAGUUAAGAUGACUGGGGGAGUCUCUAUGUAGCUGGCAAGUGUGUGUACUGCUUGUAUGCCUGUCUGAAAUUACAUUUUAAAGGAAAGCAAAUGUCUUCAUUUUUUAUUUUCUAAAGUCUGUAUUCCUCAGGAGUCUCUUUCCAGCCAGAUGGGAGUAUGUGUGUAUGUGUCUUGAGAUCAAAAGUUGAGUUUGAAGUUUUCAGCUGUGUGUCCUUUUAUGCGAAUAUGAGAUGAAACAUAUUUGUAAUAAAACAGGUUUCAGUUUUA